AACGAACGCUGGCGGCAGGCUUAACACAUGCAAGUCGAGCGCCCCGCAAGGGGAGCGGCAGACGGGUGAGUAACGCGUGGGAAUCUACCCAUCUCUACGGAAUAACGCAUGGAAACGUGUGCUAAUAACGUAUACGUCCUUCGGGAGAAAGAUUUAUCGGAGAUGGAUGAGCCCGCGUUGGAUUAGCUAGUUGGUGGGGGAAAGGCCUACAAAGGCGACGAUCCAUAGCUGGUCUGAGAGGACGGUCAGCCACCCUGGGACUGCGACACGGCCCAGACUCCGACGUGAGGCAGCAGUGGGGAAUAUUGGACAAUGGGCGCAAGCCUGAUCCAGCCAUGCCGCGUGAGUGAUGAAGGCCCUAGGGUUGUAAAGCUCUUUCACCGGUGAAGAUAAUGACGGUAACCGGAGAAGAAGCUCCGGCUAACUUCGUGCCAGCCGCCGCGGUAAAAC
rnacentral:rRNA from 1 species